rnacentral:tRNA from 1 species
GGGUGUGUAGUUCAGUGGUAAGAACAUUUGCUUAGAAUGCAUGAAGCCCUGAGUUUAAUCCCCAGCACCA